rnacentral:rRNA from 1 species
GCUCAACCGGGGAGGGUCAUUGGAAACUGGGGAACUUGAGUGCAGAAGAGGAGAGUGGAAUUCCACGUGUAGCGGUGAAAUGCGUAGAGAUGUGGAGGAACACCAGUGGCGAAGGCGACUCUCUGGUCUGUAACUGACGCUGAGGCGCGAAAGCGUGGGGAGCGAACAGGAUUAGAUACCCUGGUAGUCCACGCCGUAAACGAUGAGUGCUAAGUGUUAGAGGGUUUCCGCCCUUUAGUGCUGCAGCAAACGCAUUAAGCACUCCGCCUGGGGAGUACAGUCGCAAGACUGAAACUCAAAGGAAUUGACGGGGGCCCGCACAAGCGGUGGAGCAUGUGGUUUAAUUCGAAGCAACGCGAAGAACCUUACCAGGUCUUGACAUCCUCUGACAACCCUAGAGAUAGGGCUUCCCCUUCGGGGGCAGAGUGACAGGUGGCGCAUGGUUGUCGUCAGCUCGUGUCGUGAGAUGUUGGGUUAAGUCCCGCAACGAGCGCAACCCUUGAUCUUAGUUGCCAGCAUUCAGUUGGGCACUCUAAGGUGACUGCCGGUGACAAACCGGAGGAAGGUGGGGAUGACGUCAAAUCAUCAUGCCCCUUAUGACCUGGGCUACACACGUGCUACAAUGGGCAGAACAAAG